CCCUUAGAUGUUCUGGGCCGCACGCGCGCUACACUGAUGCAUUCAACGAGUCUAAAACCUGGUCUGAUAGGGCUGGGUAAUCUUUUGAAUGUGCAUCGUGAUUGGGAUAGAUGAUUGCAAUUCUUCAUCUUCAACGAGGAAUGCCUAGUAAACGCAAGUCAUCAGCUUACAUUGAUUACGUCCCUGCCCUUUGUACACACCGCCCGUCGCUCCUACCGAUUGAAUGUUCCGAUGAAUACCAUGGACUGAGAGUAUGAAUGGGUUCGCCUAUUUCUGCUUCUCGCGAAGUGGAGUAAAUCUCAACAUUUAGAGGAAGGAGAAGUCGUAACA
rnacentral:rRNA from 1 species